rnacentral:lncRNA from 10 species
GAUGCACAUGAAAUUUGGUGCUGUGACUCAGAUCGGGGGACCUCCCUUGGGAGAUCAAUCCCCUGUACUCCUGUUCUUUGCUCCAUGACAAAGAUCCACCUAUGACCUCAGGUCCUCAGACCGACCAGCCCAAGGAACAUCUCACCAAUUGUAAAUCAGGUUAUUUUCCUUGACCACCUGCUUGCUGUAAAAGAACUCUAAAUGGACAAUGUAUUUCCAUAUCCCAAAAAAUGAUGUUUUUUUGGACAUAAGGUGAAGUAUGAAGUUAUGAGGAGAAAGGAACAGAGGACAACCACACAGAGAAAGUGUAGCUUUAUCUACUAGAGCUGAAGACAUUCAAAUUUAUGAUCCAACAAUUCUACUCUGAAGUGCAGUGGUGUAUAUACUGCAACAAUGUGUACUCAUGUGCCCUGAGAACUAGAUAUGAAAAAACCUUACAGCAAUAUGCAUAAUAGUAAAAAAAAAAAAAAAAA